rnacentral:rRNA from 1 species
UGGGGAAUAUUAGAAAUGGACGAAAGUCUGAUCUAGCAACACCGCGUGUGCGAAGAAGGCCUUCGGGUUGUAAAGCACUUUUUGGAAGGAUUAGGAAGGAAUGUACUUCCAGAAUAAGUCUCGGCUAACUACGUGCCAGCAGCCGCGGUAACACGUAGGAGGCAAACGUUAUCCGGAUUUACUGGGCGUAAAGCGCGUGUAGGUGGUUCUGUAAGUAGGGCGUGAAAGCUCCUGGCUCAACUGUGAGAGGCCGUUCUAAACUGCAGAGCUAGAGGAUGGUAGAGGGAGGUGGAGUUCCGGGUGUAGCGGUGGAAUGCGCAGAUAUCCGGAAGAACACCAGUGGCGAAAGCGGCCUCCUGGACCAUUCCUGACACUCAGACGCGAAAGCUGGGGUAGCAAACG